rnacentral:lncRNA from 1 species
AGAAAUUCUGGCUCCAUUGAAGUAAAUGCCUUUGAGGCUAAAGUUCAUUCAGGAAUUUCAGUGUUGUUUCUGAAAUUUACUAUCCAUUGUGAAGGGUAUAACCUAAAACCACUCCCAAGUUCAAAAGAAAAAAAAAAAAGAAAAAGGUGUUUUUCAGAUAUUCAUUUACCUUUCUGAUGCCUUUUCCUAGCAAGAAUGACAGAGAAUGUGGAGAGAGGAAAAAAAAGUGAGAUACUGAAAUGUGGUUCUUCUGUGAUCAGAGCAUUUACUUGUCAUUGGCAAAACCUGCAGAGAUAAAAAUGGCUCUUGCUGCGCUGGCGCAGUGGCAACCACUGCAAAGCAAAGUGCUCCCCCGAGAUGUGAAACUCAGCAGUUUCCCACUGAGUGCUGGAGCAGCUGUGGAAGAAGGAAGAAUAAAAGGUGAUAUGAGUUAGAUUUAUGCUGAUGUAUGAGAUUUUCAGGGACAUGUAAACCAGGAGAAACCUAGAAAUCUGAGCCCAGCUUGGAAAACUGUAGCAGAAAGUCAUUGGGAAAUUGAGACCUGAAUCCCAGUUGUUCUGCACGUUUCUGUCAUUUGCAGUUGCAACACCAGUGUAAUAUUGCAUCUUCUCACCAGUGAAGGCGCUGGAUUUGCCUACCAGCCCAAAGGCAAGAGAAAAAUAAAGGACCUCUCUCUCGCUAAA